rnacentral:rRNA from 1 species
UGAACGCUGGCGGCGUGCCUACUACAUGCACAUCGAGCGAACAGAUGAGGAGCUUGCUCCUCUGACGUUAGCGGCGGACGGGUGAGUAACACGUGGAUAACCUACCUAUAAGACUGGGAUAACUUCGGGAAACCGGAGCUAAUACCGGAUAAUAUAUUGAACCGCAUGGUUCAAUAGUGAAAGACGGUUUUGCUGUCACUUAUAGAUGGAUCCGCGCCGCAUUAGCUAGUUGGUAAGGUAACGGCUUACCAAGGCAACGAUGCGUAGCCGACCUGAGAGGGUGAUCGGCCACACUGGAACUGAGACACGGUCCAGACUCCUACGGGAGGCAGCAGUAGGGAAUCUUCCGCAAUGGGCGAAAGCCUGACGGAGCAACGCCGCGUGAGUGAUGAAGGUCUUCGGAUCGUUAAACUCUGUUAUUAGGGAAGAACAAAUGUGUAAGUAACUAUGCACGUCUUGACGGUACCUAAUCAGAAAGCCACGGCUAACUACGUG